rnacentral:rRNA from 1 species
AAUAAGGCCCUACGGGUCGUAAACCUCUUUUGUCGGGAACAAAACCGGAGACGAGUCUCCGGCUGCGUGUACCCGAAAGAAAAAGCAUCGGCUAACUCCGUGCC